CCUUCGGGGUGGAUCAGUGGCGAACGGGUGAGUAACACGUGAGCAACCUGCCCUCCACUUCGGGAUAAGCCUUGGAAACGGGGUCUAAUACCGGAUAUGAGCUCUGCCUGCAUGGGUGGGGUUGGAAAGUUUUUCGGUGGGGGAUGGGCUCGCGGCCUAUCAGCUUGUUGGUGGGGUAAUGGCCUACCAAGGCGUCGACGGGUAGCCGGCCUGAGAGGGCGACCGGCCACACUGGGACUGAGACACGGCCCAGACUCCUACGGGAGGCAGCAGUGGGGAAUAUUGCACAAUGGGCGAAAGCCUGAUGCAGCGACGCCGCGUGAGGGAUGACGGCCUUCGGGUUGUAAACCUCUUUCAGCAGGGAAGAAGCGUAAGUGACGGUACCUGCAGAAGAAGCGCCGGCUAACUACGUGCCAGCAGCCGCGGUAAUACGUAGGGCGCAAGCGUUGUCCGGAAUUAUUGGGCGUAAAGAGCUCGUAGGCGGUCUGUCGCGUCUGGUGUGAAAUCCCGAGGCUCAACCUCGGGCUUGCAUCGGGUACGGGCAGGCUAGAGUGCUGUAGGGGAGACUGGAAUUCUGGUGUAGCGGUGGAAUGCGCAGAUAUCAGGAGGAACACCGAUGGCGAAGGCAGGUCUCUGGGCAGCUACUGACGCUGAGGAGCGAAAGCAUGGGGAGCGAACAGGAUUAGAUACCCUGGUAGUCCAUGCCGUAAACGUUGGGCACUAGGUGUGGGACCCAUUCCACGGGUUCCGUGCCGCAGCUAACGCAUUAAGUGCCCCGCCUGGGGAGUACGGCCGCAAGGCUAAAACUCAAAGGAAUUGACGGGGGCCCGCACAAGCGGCGGAGCAUGCGGAUUAAUUCGAUGCAACGCGAAGAACCUUACCAAGGCUUGACAUGAACCGGAAAAGUGCAGAGAUGUGCUCCCCGUAAGGUCGGUUCACAGGUGGUGCAUGGUUGUCGUCAGCUCGUGUCGUGAGAUGUUGGGUUAAGUCCCGCAACGAGCGCAACCCUCGUCCCAUGUUGCCAGCGGGUUAUGCCGGGGACUCAUGGGAGACUGCCGGGGUCAACUCGGAGGAAGGUGGGGAUGACGUCAAAUCAUCAUGCCCCUUAUGUCUUGGGCUUCACGCAUGCUACAAUGGCCGGUACAGAGGGCUGCGAUACCGUAAGGUGGAGCGAAUCCCAAAAAGCCGGUCUCAGUUCGGAUUGGGGUCUGCAACUCGACCCCAUGAAGUCGGAGUCGCUAGUAAUCGCAGAUCAGCAACGCUGCGGUGAAUACGUUCCCGGGCCUUGUACACACCGCCCGUCAAGUCACGAAAGUUGGUAACACCCGAAGCUCCAUG
rnacentral:rRNA from 1 species